rnacentral:rRNA from 1 species
CCUACGGGUGGCUGCAGUCGAGAAUCUUCGGCAAUGGGCGCAAGCCUGACCGAGCGACGCCGCGUGCGGGAUGAAGGUCUUCGGAUUGUAAACCGCUGUCGGAGGGGAUGAAGUGCAUCAGAGCAAUCUCUGGUGUUUGACAGAGCCUCGGAGGAAGCACGGGCUAAGUUCGUGCCAGCAGCCGCGGUAAUACGAACUGUGCGAACGUUAUUCGGAAUCACUGGGCUUAAAGGGUGCGUAGGCGGCGGCUCAAGUCAGGUGUGAAAUCCCCCGGCUCAACCGGGGAACAGCGCUUGAAACUAGGUUGCUGGAGUGAGGCAGGGGUGUAUGGAACUUCCGGUGGAGCGGUGAAAUGUGUAGAGAUCGGAAGGAACGCCGGCGGCGAAAGCGGUACACUGGGCCUUGUCUGACGCUGAGGCACGAAAGCUAGGGGAGUGAACGGGAUUAGAUACCCCAGUAGUC